GCCUACGGGAGGCAGCAGUGAGGAAUAUUGGUCAAUGGACGCAAGUCUGAACCAGCCAUGCCGCGUGCAGGAUGACGGCUCUAUGAGUUGUAAACUGCUUUUGUACGAGGGUAAACCCCGAUACGUGUAUCGGGUUGAAAGUAUCGUACGAAUAAGGAUCGGCUAACUCCGUGCCAGCAGCCGCGGUAAUACGGAGGAUCCGAGCGUUAUCCGGAGUGACUGGGUGUAAAGAGUUGCGUAGGUGGCAUAAUAAGUAGCUAGUGAAAUCUGGUGGCUCAACCAUUCAGACUAUUAGCUAAACUGUU
rnacentral:rRNA from 1 species